UCGCAUUCCAGUGAGGACCAUCCAAGGCCUACACUUCACUGAGUCAACCAUUGGACUUUUAGCCGUCGAUUUUGCCCCUUUCAAACCCUCAUUGCCACCAGUUUAUUUUUUUUAUCCCUGUUCAAUAAUGAACAAAGCUCCUUCACGUGACCAUAUCGUUCGCAAGAGAAGCAAAUGGAAGGUAAGGAUUCAUAUUCGAUUUUUUGAAGUCUGUCAUUAAUCAUAAUCUAGGAUAUUAAGGGUUUAUCUAAAUUCACAAAAAUUACCAACCUUGCAAAAUAUCCCCUUAGUUGAUUAUCAGUAUUGAAAUCGAGUUUUGCAAUCUUACCUAUUAAAUCACCAAUUUCCUCAAGAAUUUUUUUGUUGUACAGGUAAUUGGGCAGGCCUUGUAGUCGUAUCCACGCCAUGACCAUCGUCGGGAAAGGUUGAAACAGGUUAAACUCCAUUGUCCAUGGUUGAACAAUAAAAUAUUGACCGAAGACGAUUUAGGGUCCUUGGAUAAAAUCUUUCUCAUAAUCUUAUUUGUUUUGUAAUUUUACGAGAAAAUACUCAUUUUCCAC
rnacentral:lncRNA from 1 species